AUUGAACGCUGGCGGCAGGCCUAACACAUGCAAGUCGAACGAGUGGCGGACGGGUGAGUAAUGUCUGGGAAACUGCCCGAUGGAGGGGGAUAACUACUGGAAACGGUAGCUAAUACCGCAUACCAUCGGAUGUGCCCAGAUGGGAUUCGCUAGUCGGUGGGGUAACGACUCACCUAGGCGACGAUCCCUAGCUGGUAUGAGAGGAUGACCAGCAACACUGGAACUGAGACACGGGCCAGACUCCUACGGGAGGCAGCAGGGGGGAAGAUUGCACAAGGGGCGCAAGCCUGAUGCAGCCAUGCCGGGUGUAUGAAGAAGGCCUUCGGGUUGUAAAGUACUUUCAGCGGGGAGGCGUUACCCGCAGAAGAAGCACCGGCUAACUCCGUGCCAGCAGCCGCGGUAUAC
rnacentral:rRNA from 1 species